rnacentral:lncRNA from 1 species
CAGAAAAGAAAAAAACUAGGAGAGGAAGUCAGAGGGAAAGAAAGCAAAAACAGCAAGCACAGAGCCAAACAGCCAGGCAGGCACGCCAAGGGGCUGGCAACCUUGUAGUAAAUGGGACCACAUCCCUUAAACUACCCAGGAGCAAAGCUGGACUUCCACAAAAAAGUCUCAGUUGGCAGUGUUACCGCUGGUGUAAUCUCUUCUCUGUUCCUGGCUUUUAUUGAGAUGGUUGAUCAUCUUUACACAGUCCUUUGCAUGCAGAUUUUAGGAAUACAGCACUCCAUAUCGUUACCAUAAUAAUGAAACGGAUUCCCAUGGCUACAGCAAUGAAGCAGCAGAAAAAAAAUGGAGAUGCUGUCAAAGAAAAAAGAGACAGAUCAGAAAAGAAGCAUAAAGGGUUUGGGUAUCUUUGUAUUUAAUAUAAAUAUUAGAGUUUUUUUAAUGAGAAGGUGGUAUUGAUCCUUUUUCUGCCUUAAUUAUUUUUCCCAGAACAGAACAUAAAUACCUCGCAAAUGAUCAAAAACUGGAGUACGACAAUGUAAUAUUUCCUUCUGUACUUCUCUACAAGUUCCC